rnacentral:rRNA from 1 species
GAUGAACGCUGGCGGCGUGCCUAAUACAUGCAAGUCGAGCGAACAGACGAGGAGCUUGCUCCUCUGACGUUAGCGGCGGACGGGUGAGUAACACGUGGAUAACCUACCUAUAAGACUGGGAUAACUUCGGGAAACCGGAGCUAAUACCGGAUAACAUGUUGAACCGCAUGGUUCAACAGUGAAAGACGGUCUUGCUGUCACUUAUAGAUGGAUCCGCGCCGCAUUAGCUAGUUGGUAAGGUAACGGCUUACCAAGGCAACGAUGCGUAGCCGACCUGAGAGGGUGAUCGGCCACACUGGAAAUGAGACACGGUCCAGACUCCUACGGGAGGCAGCAGUAGGGAAUCUUCCGCAAUGGGCGAAAGCCUGACGGAGCAACGCCGCGUGAGUGAUGAAGGUCUUCGGAUCGUAAAACUCUGUUAUUAGGGAAGAACAAAUGUGUAAGUAACUAUGCACGUCUUGACGGUACCUAAUCAGAAAGCCACGGCUAACUACGUG